rnacentral:lncRNA from 1 species
GCAAGUGUGAGCAGGUAAUAUGGAGAGAGUGACAUUGUUAACAAAAACCCAUCUAAUUAACAAUGACUUCAUUUGAUUGGAAGGAUGAAGAAGCCUUUUUAAAUCAAUCCAGAUUUACAGGCCUAAGCACAGCCAAUUAUGAAUAUGGAGCCCAACUGGGGUCUGCUUUCUUUCAAAGAUGUCAUCUCAGAGGUAAUAGCAUAGGUGAAGUCAUUUGGUUACACCGUGGAAACUUUUAUAGUGCCUUCCUUGGGAAUUUAAUUCACUGCCUCUUCAUUUUAUUAGGAACAGACUGACUCUAUCAACUGUGCUCUCCCUGUUUAGAGGCAAGACUGCUUGAAGCAAUUAGGUUUACAAUUAGCAUAGUUUUAGUGACCCCAGCCAUAGCACUACCACGGCUCCUUUACAUUAGCCAUUUCUUCAAAGUCAGGGAAAACCUGGGGCACAAUCUGCUUCCCAGGCGUCCAGGCUGGGGAACCGAGCACACACCCAGUAUCCAAGAGCCCAGGUGUUUGCUUCAGAACUUGGUGGGUUUCAGCCCAGGCUCUGAUCCUGACUUCACUU